rnacentral:lncRNA from 1 species
CUGCCUGGCAAAUGAAGCCAAACUCAGAAGGUCAAGUUCGUAUGCUUUCUCUCAUAUGCAGAAGCUAAAGAGGAAAAAGGGAAAGAAAGGUGGGGGAAGAGCUCCCGAAAAUCAAAGAGAGAUCAGUAGAGGAAAGGGGUGAGAGGUGGGGAAAUACUGGGAGUGAUAGUGGCCAAAUUAUGUUGUUAUAUUGUGUGCAUAUAUGAAUAUGGAACAAAUCCCAUCAUUAUGUACAACUGUAUUGCCCCAGUUUAAAAAUGUGGGGGAAAAAAGAAGAAAUGUUUAGCUAAAAAAAAAAAAAGAAAGAAAGAGAAAGGAAAGAAAAAAGAAUGCUUGGUAAGGCACUAAAGGAAAAGGGAAAAAAUCUCCCUAAAAGACUUUCGAUUUUAUUUUUUGCACUAGUUAGAAAAGUGUUUGAAAAGCAAAUUGAAGUUUGAACUUAAAAAAAGAAAGGAAAAAGCAUUGUGGGUGGAACAUGUUAAGAAAUGCAAUAAUCAUAGUUGUUUCAUAAGCCCUUGGAACUAAUAUUAAGUACCACCAGAAUCUAAUUAUCUCUAAAUAUAGAAAUAUCAUAUUUACAAGGUAGUCAAAGAAUGCCACUUUCUAUUCCCAAACUUCCCACCAACUCUCUUCAUAAAUGUACAU